ACAGAUCGUUCAGAGUUUGAUCCUGGCUCAGGAUGAACGCUAGCUACAGGCUUAACACAUGCAAGUCGAGGGGCAGCAUGAACAUAGCUUGCUAUGUUUGAUGGCGACCGGCGCACGGGUGCGUAACACGUAUCCAAUCUGCCCGUCACUCGGGGAUAGCCUUCUGAAAGGAAGAUUAAUACCCGAUGGCAUGCAUUUCCGGCAUCGGAGAUGCAUUAAAGAUUUUAUCGGUGACGGAUGAGGAUGCGUACGAUUAGCUAGUUGGCGGGGUAACGGCCCACCAAGGCGACGAUCGUUAGGGGUUCUGAGAGGAAGGUCCCCCACACUGGAACUGAGACACGGUCCAG
rnacentral:rRNA from 1 species